rnacentral:lncRNA from 1 species
CUGCUAGAGAGAAGAAAGGAGACUUGUGUGGCUAGAGCUCUGAGGGGCCUCCCUGGAAGACGGAUGGGCCCCGACGCGUCACGCCCCCGGCGCCCGCAGACAAGCAGGCUCGGGGAACCCGAUGUCCCUCAGGCCACGUCGUGGGCCCCUCAGCCUGGCCUGAAGCGUACGAUGCUUUUUUCGAGUCCUCAAUCCGGUGUCCUAGUCUCUAGAGGCAAGAGCAUCCCUCCUUCGGGAUGAGGCCCGUAUACCUCCACUUGAUUAGUGCAGCAGCCCCACCCCUCACCCCAAUCCAGUAUCACUUCCCAUUAACCUUUCUGGGACAACCAGAACAGGCACUAGGAACACCAGAGAGCUGCCUCUUAGGAUCUUCCACUGCUUGCCACUAAGUCCCCUCAAGCCCUCCAUAGCUCACCCCUCACCACUUGCCUGCCUAAACCCCACUUGUCUUUUGGCACUUAGUUCAAUGCCUCUGCUGCUAGGAAGCCUUCCCCAUGACCUUCUGGAUACCUGGAAUGCCCAGCAGCCCUUUCUCAGUGCUUUCCAGAUCUCAGCACCUCUUCACCUGAGUCCUGUCUGGACUAAGAACUCUUGAGAGCAAGGGUCGAGAUGAAUUCGCCCAGCACAGCCUGACCUCCUGAUGCAUGCCCAGCAUGUAUUUGUUGAAAUGAAUAAUUGGGUCCAGUAACUGGAGGAUUGGAUCUAUAGGGCUGGAGUUCAGGAAAGAGCUGGGCUACAGAGACUCCUCCCCCCACCCCCAGUUUUGAAGAUUGAAUCCAGGGCUUCUUGCAUUCUAAGCAAGGAUGCUACUACUGAGCUAUACCCCAAUAUUGAAGAGAUGGUUUUGAGAGUCCUUGAGGAUCCAGUCAUAAUUCUAAUGGAAAGGCUCAAACAGAUCAACUGAAGCAAGGCUGAGAGGAUCAGAUUAAGAUCUAGGCAACAACAACAACAAAUCUUACAUAUAUAUAAAUCUUGAAAAACAGUUCUGGGCUGGUAUGAUGGCUCUGCUCCACAAAAGCCUUUGAGAUGUGGCUCUCUCCACUCCCUGCACCAGGAAGCCCUGGAGAUGGCCUUUGACCUCGUGAUUCUGAAUAGGGGCUGGAACUCCAGUUAUCACGUAUGCAUUCCAGGUUUUGGAAUGGAGAAAAAUAAUGAAGGGUCGAUGCUAACUCUUUAUUUUAUGUGGGUGACUGUUUUGCCUACAUGUAUGCCUAUAUGUGCAUCUGUGUGUGCUUACGGAGAGUUGUGAGCCACUGUGUGGGUGCUGGGAACUGAAUCUGGCUCCCCUGUAAGAACAGCAUGUGCUCUCAACCACUGAGCCAUCUCUCUACCCCAACAGUAGCUCUUUUAAAGACAGCGCCACGGAACAUUCCCUGUGCAUCCCACUAACGUGAAUUUUGUCACAUAACCAGACCAGGUAGCAAGAGCAAGAACAUGAAAAGGGGCCGGGCAGUGGUGGUGGAUCCCUUUAAUCCCAACACUCAGAGGCAGACGCAGGUAGAUCUCCAAGUUCAAGGCCAGCCUGGACUAUAGAGCGAGUUCCAGAACAGCCAAGGCUACACAGAGAAACGUAUCUCGAAACAAAGCAAAGCAAAACAAAACAAAAAAAGGAAAGAAAGGGGAAAAAACCUACCACCACCACCAACAACAAAUGCAACCUCCAUCAUAGGCAGCCAAAAGCCCAACCAAGGAGCAAGGAUUAUAGCACCAAGAAACCAAGAAGACCCUGUGUGUGUGUGUGUGUGUGUGUGUGUGUGAGUUCCAGAGACAAUGUAUAUCAGGCACUGCCUUGGGCACUUCACAUGUAUUACCUCAACCCUAGCAGAGGUUGCCACCAGUACCCAGACACACCGAGGAGCCUUGGAGAGAAGCCACUUACCAAAGACACAGGGUGAGCCAUAUGAGAGCUGUAAGAGGCCUUCUUCCCCUACACUCCAUGCCUGCCGGGAAACCAGGAGAGGCUGCACUGGGGUACCACUAGAACGAAUCUUUGAAAAACGGUUAAAUGCUGGGAGCCAAACAAGAUGCAGGACCAAGUGUCCCCGUGGCUUUUACAUCAAGGACUCUGCUGGUGACCUUGGCAAGGGCAUCUGGAAGGGAUGGGGGGUGGAGGCCAGUUACUGAGAAGGGCAAACUGGUCUUUCUGGAAGGGUGGCAACGAGGAGGGAGUAGGCUGCUCUACAGGGCAACAUGAGCCAGAGAAGGAGGCAAGAGAGGAAGACGUGCAGAGCACAGGCUAAGAGAGAGGAGGCCGCCUUGGCCUGAGGUACUAUUUUUCCUUCCACGCAGGAGGAAAGGAACAGUAGGCACAGACUGUGGAGACUACAAAAGAGGAGGAUGGAAGGUUCUUGGCUGGGGAAGCUGGCAGAAGGCCAAGGUCUGAGAGAACAACUGGUCCAUGCUGUCCACUCUGCUAGCCGCCACUACAUGUAAAAUAGCUACAUACAGCUAUUCUAGUGAAUUAAAAGUAAAU